CCAAUAGCGUAUAUUAAAGUUGUUGCAGUUAAAAAGCUCGUAGUUGAAUUUCGGGGUCAGUAGGUUGGUCAUGCCACUGGUAUGUACUGGUCUCACUGAUUCCUCCUUCCUGAUGAGCCGUAAUGCCAUUAAUUUGGUGUUGCGAGGAAUCUGGACUGUCACUUUGAAAAAAUUAGAGUGUUUAAAGCAGGCUAACGCUUGAAUACAUUAGCAUGGAAUAAUGAAAUAGGACGUUCGAUCCUAUUUUGUUGGUUUCUAAGAUUGACGUAAUGAUUAAUAGGGAUAGUUGGGGGCAUUAGUAUUCAAUUGUCAGAGGUGAAAUUCUUGGAUUUAUUGAAGACUAACUACUGCGAAAGCAUUUGCCAAGGAUGUUUUCAUUAAUCAAGAACGAAAGUUAGGGGAUCGAAGACGAUCAGAUACCGUCGUAGUCUUAACCAUAAACUAUGCCGACUAGGGAUCGGAUGAUGUUAAUUUUUUAAUGACUCAUUCGGCGCCUUACG
rnacentral:rRNA from 1 species